UGGGGAAUAUUGCGCAAUGGGCGAAAGCCUGACGCAGCGACGCCGCGUGAGGGAUGAAGGCCUUCGGGUUGUAAACCUCUUUCAGCAGGGACGAAGCGAAAGUGACGGUACCUGCAGAAGAAGCACCGGCCAACUACGUGCCAGCAGCCGCGGUAAUACGUAGGGUGCAAGCGUUGUCCGGAAUUAUUGGGCGUAAAGAGCUCGUAGGCGGUUUGUCGCGUCGGCUGUGAAAACCUGAGGCUCAACCUCGGGCCUGCAGUCGAUACGGGCAAACUAGAGUUCGGUAGGGGAGACUGGAAUUCCUGGUGUAGCGGUGGAAUGCGCAGAUAUCAGGAGGAACACCGGUGGCGAAGGCGGGUCUCUGGGCCGAAACUGACGCUGAGGAGCGAAAGCGUGGGGAGCAAACAGG
rnacentral:rRNA from 1 species